AGCGAACGCUGGCGGCAGGCCUAACACAUGCAAGUCGAACGAACUCUUCGGAGUUAGUGGCGGACGGGUGAGUAACACGUGGGAACGUGCCUUUAGGCUCGGAAUAACUCAGGGAAACGUGUGCUAAUACCGAAUGUGUCCUUCGGGGGAAAGAUUUAUCGCCUUUAGAGCGGCCCGCGUCUGUUUAGCUUGUUGGCGGGGUAAAGGCUGACCACGGCGAAGCUCAGUAGCUGGUCAGAGAGGAUGAUACGCCACACUGGGACUGAGAGACGGUCCAAACUACUACGGUAGGAAGCAGUCCGGAAUCUUGGACGGAGGGCGCAAGGGUGAUCCAGCCCUACCGCGUGGGUGCCGAAGGCCUCCGGGCCGUAGAGACCUUUUGUUGUGAAAGAAAAGAAGCUGGUUCAUCCGGGGCUGUUAUGACGGUACCCAAAGAAUAAGCCCCGGCUAACUUCGUG
rnacentral:rRNA from 1 species